rnacentral:pre_miRNA from 1 species
ACCCAAUUCCUUCAAUCGUCGGAGCAUUUCGCAGUCACACGUUCUCAUUAAUCGUGUCACUGGUUUCUUCUGACGAAUUGAAGUUGGU